CACGUAGGAGGCGAGCGUUGUCCGGAAUCAUUGGGCGUAAAGAGCGCGCAGGCGGCUUGGCAAGUCGGGUGUGAAAUCCCGGGGCUCAACCCCGGGACUGCAUUCGAUACUGUCAGGCUAGAGGUAGGUAGGGGAGAUCGGAAUUCCUGGUGUAGCGGUGAAAUGCGCAGAUAUCAGGAGGAACACCCAUGGCGAAGGCAGCAAACUGGUCAUCAACUGACGCUGAGGCGCGAAAGCGUGGGUAGCAAACAGG
rnacentral:rRNA from 1 species